UAAAAGUUAGUUAAAAUUAUAAUAUAAACUUGUCAUGUUUAAGUUGUUUUCACUUUUAA
rnacentral:tRNA from 1 species